GCAUCGGUGGUUCAAUGGUAGAAUGCUCGCCUGCCACGCGGGCGUACCCGGGUUCGAUUCCCAGCCGAUGCA
rnacentral:tRNA from 1 species